AUGGCUGAGCGCAGCCUCUCACAAAGCAGAUGGGGAACUGGCCGCCGGCUGGGUCUAACCCAACUGCCAGAAAGACCGCCGGCCAGGAGCAGCCGAUUUAGGAGAAGUACAUCAAACAUCCUCACACCCCCAGAAGCCAGUCAGAUAGAUGUCUCCGAAGUGCAAGCAAAGUGUCUCCCUCAGAUGGGAGCAGAAGAAAAAUAUCUAAUAAUUAUGUUGAAUGUUAAUAAUUAAAGUUAAUAUAACUCAGUGGAUUGAGUCCAUAUUUCUCGGAGUGUGCGCAUCUCAUUGCUAGGCAAGCCUGCGCAUCAAUUCUUUGCACGCAAAUAGCUGGCAGAUUUGCAUUUUUGCAGUGCUAGUGUUUCCCACGAAAUUGGCCUUUACUACGGGAUUUUGCUCCUGUUUCCUCAGGACCCCUUUGACACGAUCAGCCGCUCGGUCUGGACCUGACCUGGUUCCUGAGCCCCGUGUGAAGGCCAGGCAGCCUGUGGUUGACCUUGGUCAUCCGUGGGCUCCACUCUGCCGGGCACACAUGGGAGGAUCUCCGGGGCCAUCACCAGCGGUUCGGGAAGCAGCCCACUUCAGUGAGAGACCUCGGGGGGAGCACAGGCCUGGGUGAGGACUUGGAAGCCUCUUUGGUCGCUGGAAAGUAGAGCCUUUCAGGAUUGGGUGCAGCUGCUGGAGACCUGUGUAGAUUCCCUGAGACCACGUCCUCAGGCCUGCGCCUCUGCCCCAGCCGGGCCCCAGGAGCACAGUAGCUGGGACAGGAGCCAUCAGGGCUGCCCCUCCCGGGAGGGGCCUCGGCCCAUUGCAGAGGGAGGCGGGGUCCGGCCCAGUGGCUGCAGGACCCGCGAUGGGCAGCGCCUAGCGGCCCUGCUGGAGCCCGGGGCCGAGUCCUUCGCUCCCUCACCACGGCCGUAUACUCCUCGGCUCUGGUUGGCACUGGCCACUAGCGGUGGCCACCUUCAGGCAGCUGAGCAUCCCUGAGCCCCCAGAGCAUCCAGCCCCUCCAACCCAACCUCCAGGGCAGGCCCCAGGGAGCUGCCCGCUCCCGAGGUCAUCAGCCC
rnacentral:lncRNA from 1 species